CCACGUCAGGCUAGAUCACCCGCU
rnacentral:rRNA from 3 species